rnacentral:rRNA from 1 species
GACGAACGCUUGCGGCGUGCUUAACACAUGCAAGUCGAACGGAAAGGCCCUGCUUUUGUGGGGUGCUCGAGUGGCGAACGGGUGAGUAACACGUGAGUAACCUGCCCUUGACUUUGGGAUAACUUCAGGAAACAGGGGCUAAUACCGGAUAGGAGCUCCUGCUGCAUGGUGGGGGUUGGAAAGUUUCGGCGGUUGGGGAUGGACUCGCGGCUUAUCAGCUUGUUGGUGGGGUAGUGGCUUACCAAGGCUUUGACGGGUAGCCGGCCUGAGAGGGUGACCGGCCACAUUGGGACUGAGAUACGGCCCAGACUCCUACGGGAGGCAGCAGUGGGGAAUAUUGCACAAUGGGCGGAAGCCUGAUGCAGCAACGCCGCGUGCGGGAUGACGGCCUUCGGGUUGUAAACCGCUUUCGCCUGUGACGAAGCGUGAGUGACGGUAAUGGGUAAAGAAGCACCGGCUAACUACGUGCCAGCAGCCGCGGUGAUACGUAGGGUGCGAGCGUUGUCCGGAUUUAUUGGGCGUAAAGGGCUCGUAGGUGGUUGAUCGCGUCGGAAGUGUAAUCUUGGGGCUUAACCCUGAGCGUGCUUUCGAUACGGGUUGACUUGAGGAAGGUAGGGGAGAAUGGAAUUCCUGGUGGAGCGGUGGAAUGCGCAGAUAUCAGGAGGAACACCAGUGGCGAAGGCGGUUCUCUGGGCCUUUCCUGACGCUGAGGAGCGAAAGCGUGGGGAGCGAACAGGCCUAGAUACCCUGGUAGUCCACGCUGUAAACGGUGGGUACUAGGUGUGGGGUCCAUUCCACGGGUUCCGUGCCGUAGCUAACGCUUUAAGUACCCCGCCUGGGGAGUACGGCCGCAAGGCUAAAACUCAAAGGAAUUGACGGGGCCCCGCACAAGCGGCGGAGCAUGCGGAUUAAUUCGAUGCAACGCGUAGAACCUUACCUGGGUUUGACAUGGAUCGGGAGUGCUCAGAGAUGGGUGUGCCUCUUUUGGGGUCGGUUCACAGGUGGUGCAUGGCUGUCGUCAGCUCGUGUCGUGAGAUGUUGGGUUAAGUCCCGCAACGAGCGCAACCCUUGUUCACUGUUGCCAGCACGUUAUGGUGGGGACUCAGUGGAGACCGCCGGGGUCAACUCGGAGGAAGGUGGGGAUGACGUCAAGUCAUCAUGCCCCUUAUGUCCAGGGCUUCACGCAUGCUACAAUGGCUUGUACAGAGAGUGGCGAGCCUGUGAGGGUGAGCGAAUCUCGGAAAGCCGGUCUCAGUUCGGAUUGGGGUCUGCAACUCGACCUCAUGAAGUCGGAGUCGCUAGUAAUCGCAGAUCAGCAACGCUGCGGUGAAUACGUUCCCGGGGCU